rnacentral:sRNA from 1 species
GGGCCCUUGAAGCGCUCUGUUAAAGCGCUCUGUGGGCGGCCUGGCCCCAACUCCUCUAGUCUAGGCGCGCGAAGGGAGUUGCUCCUAGGUCUUGUCCGUGCCGGGUUCGCUUUUCUUUCCUUCCCGAAGCCUGGCCCUUAGAUCUACUAUCGCAGAGUCUGCGGCCGCCAGGAAGCCCAGAUUCGAGUGUCCGGAGAGUAACCGGAAGUGCUGUCCCCAGGCCUAGGGGCGGCGCCGGCGGCUGCCAGGAGCUGGUCGGAACUGAUGGCUACCAGUGGCAGGUACUUCCUGCAGGAGAAACAGUGUAAGCAAAGAUGGGAAGAGGAGAGGCAAGAAUUGAGUGUUGUGAAUAGUUCUGAACUAGAGACCUUUUGAAACCAAAAGGAAGAUGGUCUUGAGUCUUUCUUGUUACGAAUGCUAUCUUCUUUGAGAAGUCAAAUUGUCAGGAUCAGGAAUGUAUGUUUUCUUCCAUCUGGAUUCUAGGGUUGGAAAUACCAAGUAAGGAAUUAACAUAUAUGAUGCUGGAAACUUGUAGAGGCUCAUGAUUGAAAGGCCUGAAACAGAUGUAUCUU